rnacentral:misc_RNA from 1 species
CCGGUUCAUGUCGGGGUAUUCCGCGGACGGCGCCGCCUGGGGACCUCAGGACGGAGCGGGCGGCGCGUGGCGCCGCCCGUCCGGUUUGCUAACGCGUCGCGCGCACGCCUAGAGAUCGAGCUUGCCGAAAUGGUGCUCGUAGGCGCCGCGAUAGUCGGUCGCGUUGAACAGGCCGUAGUAGACGACCCGCUUCACCCAAGCCUUCUGCGAGUCCAUCACCUUCUUCAUGAAGGGAUCCUUGCCGAGCUGGUCGAUCAGCCCGUCCCAGGCCUUGAUCUGCGCGUCGAACACGUCCUUCGGCGUGCGCAGGACGUUGACCUUGUCCUUCUCGCGCAGGUCGACGAGGUCCUUCGAGUAGUAGUCCAUCGCCUU